UGUGGCUAUGGUGUCCCUGACUCGCGUCAGGGGUGAAAAGGGAAGCCGGUGAAAGUCCUGCGCUGCCCCCGCAACUGUAAGCGGCCUGCACGGCUGAUGAUGCCACUGGAGCGAUCCGGGAAGGCCAGUCGGGCGAAAGCCGCAAGCCAGGAGACCUGCCAUGGCG
rnacentral:ncRNA from 1 species